GGGCUUGUUUACCUCUGCAAGCCGGGGAGAGGAGAGCAGGGCGGCGAGGCGGCGGCCGCGGAGCGGGCCGGGCGCCCUGCCGCCGUGACCUCCUCGCGGGGGCCGAGGUGAACCAAUGUCACCCGUCCGACCGCGCGCCCCGGCCACUCACCAGGGUGAGGGCGGCCCGGGUGGGCUGCAGCUUCCUCUUGCUCACAGCCCGGACAGUGGCCCGGACUAACGAAGCCGACAUCGUCGCUGUCCCGGCGCCCGGGUACCUCGGACGGGAGCUCGGCCACCUCAGCCUCUCUCCAUGGACACGGCGGCCGCAUUGACGCCACAGGCUCCGGCGCACGGCGCCGCAAGUCCCGCCCCGCGCGGGCCCGCCCCGCCGCCGCCAUUGGGCGGGCCGCGUGCCCGCGGACGGGGAACCCAGCCCAGCCCGAGGGUGUGAUCGGGCCGCUCCGCAGCUCUCAGGCGAGAACCACUGAAUGAGCGUGGUGGACACCUGUUGUUUGUCCGGCCUGGUGGCCGCGCCAGGGCUUCUGCCUCUUAAUUCUGCAUGACACCAGGUACACGGAGGACGCCUGGUAAGUGGAGAGCCCAGGAACGGAGGAGAGGUCUAGACAGGACUCGGGAGCAGAACAGGAGGGCGGGGCUUUUCUCGUGGCCGCGCUUGUAGGGGGAAAGGAGGUGCGGCGGGGGUGGUGCUGGGGAGGAGAGCUUCUUGCUCAGUGUUGCGGCGUGGAAAGAACUAAUCAGUGAAGUGUGUUUUUAGAGCCCAGUUUAGCUUUCACCCCCCUAAAGCCUACAGGAUUGGAUGAUUCAAAAUCCCCUUAAGUAGUUCUAUCUCCGUUACUGAAAUACGACUGCAUGACGGUAAGAGAACGGUCCUCUUUGCCUCACCGUUUGUUAGCAAACGGUGAGGUUAGGGGAUGGGAAUAUGUUGGGAGUGUCUUGGCUUCACCUGACGAGCUGGGUGGGUGAUUUGGCGCAGGUGUUUUACUUCUCAUGCCCUUCCUACAGACGCGGUGAAGAUGAAAUGAAAGGCCCUUGGAAGGGUGUACCAGCAACUCAAUAAACGUUGCUAGUUUUUCGUGGA